rnacentral:rRNA from 1 species
GAUCCUGCUCAGGAUGAACGCUAGCUACAGGCUUAACACAUGCAAGUCGAGGGGCAGCAUGGUCUUAGCUUGCUAAGGCCGAUGGCGACCGGCGCACGGGUGAGUAACGCGUAUCCAACCUGCCUUACACUCUUGGACAGCCUUCUGAAAGGGAGAUUAAUACAAGAUGUUAUCAUGAGUAAGCAUUUUCGCAUGAUUAAAGGUUUACCGGUGUAAGAUGGGGAUGCGUUCCA